CCAGUUAGCCUAGUGGUUAAGGCUCUGGAUCGCCAAUCCGGAGACGGCGGGUUCGAUUUCCGACUCCCUGGG
rnacentral:tRNA from 1 species